UGGGGAAUAUUGCACAAUGGGCGAAAGCCUGAUGCAGCAACGCCGCGUGAGUGAUGAAGGCCUUCGGGUUGUAAAGCUCUGUCUUCUGGGACGAUAAUGACGGUACCAGAGGAGGAAGCCACGGCUAACUACGUGCCAGCAGCCGCGGUAAUACGUAGGUGGCAAGCGUUGUCCGGAUUUACUGGGCGUAAAGGAUGCGUAGGCGGAUACUUAAGUCAGAUGUGAAAAUCCCGGGCUUAACUUGGGAACUGCAUUUGAAACUGGGUAUCUAGAGUGCGGGAGAGGAAAGUGGAAUUCCUAGUGUAGCGGUGAAAUGCGUAGAGAUUUGGAAGAACACCAGUGGCGAAGGCGACUUUCUGGACCGUAACUGACGCUGAGGCAUGAAAGCGUGGGGAGCAAACA
rnacentral:rRNA from 1 species